rnacentral:tRNA from 1 species
AGGGCCGUAGCUCAACUGGUAGAGCGGCGGAUUCCAAAUCCGCAGGUUGGGGGUUCAAGUCCCUCCGGCCCUG